rnacentral:rRNA from 1 species
UACGUAGGGGGCAAGCGUUGUCCGGAAUCAUUGGGCGUAAAGAGCGUGUAGGCGGUCCGGUAAGUCGGCUGUGAAAGUCCAGGGCUCAACCCUGGGAUGCCGGUCGAUACUGCCGGACUAGAGUUCGGAAGAGGCGAGUGGAAUUCCCGGUGUAGCGGUGAAAUGCGUAGAGAUCCCCAAGAACACCAGUUGCGAAGGCGGCCGUCUGGACACAUAUUGACGCUGAGGCUCGAAAGCAUGGGGAGCAAACAGG